rnacentral:lncRNA from 1 species
UUCAGACUUGCAGUCGGGCUAUGUUGAGGACCCUGUCAAUGGGGGCUAAUACAUUGGUACCGCAAGAAGAAUAGUCGGUGAUAUGACCCUGCCACAAGGAACAUGUGGCCAUAGUUCCUGGCUGUUGAGUUGAAUCUGAUAAAUUGAAAUAACAUAAGAUAUGAACAAUAUUUGGUUUUGACACUGCAUAUUUUCAUGACUGAAUUAUGAAAUAGAGAACUAAUUGAACUUCGACCUGGCUAUGUUGAGGACCCCGCCAAUGGGGACAGAUACGUUGGCAAUUGAUUGUCCUGAAGGACUCACCGCAAGAAGAUUAGUAGGUGUUGAUGACCCUGCCACAGGGAACAUGUGGUCAUAGUCCAGGAUCGACAAGAUGAAUUGAAUAUGUGAAAGAAUCUCGAAACCGUGAAAAGAAUCUUAUGAAUUUAAGACAUAUUUGACUUGUACUUUGGAACUGCAUUUAUAUUUAUUUUC